CCUACGGGUGGCAGCAGUGAGGAAUAUUGGUCAAUGGGCGGAAGCCUGAACCAGCCAAGUAGCGUGCGGGAUGAAGGCCCUCCGGGUCGUAAACCGCUUUUGCACGGGGAUCACACCCUCCACUUGUGGAGGUCUGCAGGUACCGUGCGAAUAAGGGCCGGCAAAUUCCGUGCCAGCAGCCGCGGUAAUACGGAAGGACCGAGGGUUAUCCGGAGUCAUUGGGCUUAAUGGGAGAGUAGGCGGGCGUUCAAGUCAGCGGUAAAAGCGCGCGGCUCAACCGCGGCACGCAGUUGACACUGGACGGCUUGAGUUCACAACAGGCAGGCGGAAUUCGUGGUGUAGCGGUGAAAUG
rnacentral:rRNA from 1 species